ensembl:lncRNA
AAAACUUCUUACAUUUGCUUUUCUUAAUUCUUAGUCUGGGGGCUUCCCUGGUGGCUCAGACAGUAAAGAGUCUGCCUGCAAUGCAGGAGACCCGGGUUCAAUCCCUGAGUCAGGAAGAUCCCUGGAGAAGGAAAUGGCAACCCACUCCAGUAUUCUUGCCUGGAGAAUCCCAUGGACAGAGGAGCCUGGCAGGAUACAGUCCAUGGGGUUGCAAAGAGUCAGACAUGACUGAGUGACUUCACUUUCUUUCUUUCUAGAGUUGAGGAACAACUAUGGCCUGUGUUCUAGGAGCCUUGUCAGAGUUGCCCUUCACAGUGUGAAAGUUGCUGGCCUCGGGGUGAUUUUUAGACACCAGAGUAGCAAAUUCUUCACUGCCUGAACCACCAGCGAAGCUGGCACACGGAACUGAAUAUGACCUUCUAAGGUGUCUGAGCUGGAAACUGCGCUGUCAGGAAGGACUGACCCGGCGGGGACCUCCGCCUUCGCACACGGCCGAUUCCUGUAACUUCCCCAGGAGCAUCUGAAGCAAGGGCCAGAGGAUGACCAGGUCCGUGUCCUGUCACCUGCCCCUCAGGGAGGGGCCUUAGGCUUCCGGUCGGUGCUGGCCUUGCCCAGGGUGGACUUCGACCUCAGAGGCUGCGGUCGUCGGCUUCUUGACGGUACAGGCAACUUCCAUGUCCUGAAAGGGAAGCAUUCCGUGUCUUAGUUUCGAAUGUUCUCAGCGUUUACUGAGGUUGGAGGUUGGAGGACACCUUUCUCCUCACAGUUCGGCUCUUGGAGGAGUCGAGGCCGUCGACCCCUGUGCCCUCCAGCGUCGCCUCCAGGGCUGACCUUUGUGAUGGUCUGCAAACAACACAGAAGAGCCGCCCGAGUGGCGACUGCUGGGGCGGCUGGGCAGAGGCCGCCGCCGCAGGGGGCCGCCCGG